AGCAGCCGCGGUAAUUCCAGCUCCAAUAGCGUAUAUUAAAGUUGUUGCAGUUAAAAAGCUCGUAGUUGAAUUUCGGGGUCAGUAGGUUGGUCGUGCCACUGGUAUGCACUGGUCUCACUGAUUCCUCCUUCCUGAUGAGCCGUAAUGCCAUUAAUUUGGUGUUGCGGGGAAUCUGGACUGUUACUUUGAAAAAUUAGAGUGUUUAAAGCAGGCUAACGCUUGAAUACAUUAGCAUGGAAUAAUGAAAUAGGACGAUCGAUCUUAUUUUGUUGGUUCUAGGAUUGACGUAAUGAUUAAUAGGGAUAGUUGGGGGCAUUAGUAUUCAAUUGUCAGAGGUGAAAUUCUUGGAUUUAUUGAAGACUAACUACUGCGAAAGCAUUUGCCAAGGAUGUUUUCAUUAAUCAAGAACGAAG
rnacentral:rRNA from 1 species